AGUGAGGAAUAACUGCCCGAAAGGGUGGCUAAUGCCGCAUAUGAUCUUCGGAUUAAAGGAUUUAUCCGCUUUGGGAGCAGCCCGCGUUAGAUUAGGUAGUUGGUAGGGUAAUGGCCUACCAAGCCGACGAUCUAUAGCUGGUCUGAGAGGAUGAUCAGCCAGACUGGGACUGAGACACGGCCCAGACUCCUACGGGAGGCAGCAGUGAGGAAUCUUCCACAAUGGGCGAAAGCCUGAUGGAGCAACGCCGCGUGAAGGAUGAAGGCCCUAGGGUUGUAAACUUCUUUUAUAAGUGAAGAAUAUGACGGUAACUUAUGAAUAAGCACCGGCUAACUACGUGCCAGCAGCCGCGGUCAUACGUAGGGUGCAAGCAUUAUCCGGAGUGACUGGGCGUAAAGAGUUGCGUAGGUGGUUUGUUAAGUAGAUAGUGAAAUCUGGGGGCUCAACCUCACAGGCUAUUAUCUAAACUGGCAAACUCGAGAAUGGUAGAGGUAACUGGAAUUUCUUGUGUAGGAGUGAAAUCCGUAGAUAUAAGAAGGAACACCAAUGGCGUAGGCAGGUUACUGGACCAUUUCUGACACUGAGGCACGAAAGCGUGGGGAGCGAACGGGAUUAGAUACCCCGGUAGUCCACGCCGUAAACGAUGGAUACUAGCUGUUGGAGGUAUCGACCCCUCCAGUAGCGAAGCUAACGCGUUAAGUAUCCCGCCUGUGGAGUACGGUCGCAAGACUAAAACAUAAAGGAAUUGACGGGGACCCGCACAAGCGGUGGAUUGUGU
rnacentral:rRNA from 1 species